CGAGAAAAUCGGCUUGUUGAUUUCCCGUUUCACGGGAGGUAGGAAAGUCCGGACACCGUAGAGCAGCAAAGCGGAUAACAUCCNNGUACAGUUCGGCUGUAGUGAAACCAGGUAAACUCUUUGUGGUGCAAUGAUAAGUAUAUCGGUUCUUUUCAGCAGUGAAAAUAGGAGUUGCUCGCUCUGAAAGCCGAGGGGUAAUCAGCUAAAGUUUUGCAGCAAUGUAAGACGCAGAUAAAUAACAGGCACUUCUUCGGAAGAACAAAAUCCGGCUUAUAGAUUUUCUCGUGGU
rnacentral:RNase_P_RNA from 1 species